rnacentral:rRNA from 1 species
CCUACGGGAGGCAGCAGUGGGGAAUAUUGGGCAAUGGGCGCAAGCCUGACCCAGCAACGUCGCGUGAAGGAUGAAGGCUCUCGGGUUGUUAACUUCUUUUUUCAGGGACGUAGCAAGCGACGGUACCUGACGACUAAGCCUCGGCUAACUACGGGCCAGCAGCCGCGGUAAUACGUAGGUGGCAAGCGUUCUCCGGAUUGACUGGGUGUAAAGGGUGUGUAGGCGGGACUGUAAGUCAGUUGGGAAAACCACGGGCUCAACCUGUUGCCUGCAUUUGACACUGGAGUUCUUGAGUACUGGAGAGGCAGACGGAAUUCCUAGUGUAGCGGUGAAAUGCAUAGAUAUUAGGAGGAACACCAAUGGCGAAGGCAGUCUGCUGGACAGCAACUGACGCUGAGGCGCGAAAGCGUGGGGAGCAAACAGGAUUAGAUACCCUGGUAGUC